rnacentral:miRNA from 1 species
UGUCCGGCCUGAAGACACAUUGU